ensembl:lncRNA
GAACGCGGACGUUACCUUUACGGUGUGUUAGCUAGCAGGGCUGAAACUAUUUCGUUUAACCCAGAAAUACAGCCCUGUCCAGGUGUUUUCCCAAUACCAGUCCCAGCAGUUCACGCCGUUUAAGCUUGAAAUGGCGCGUGAGCUAGCUAGCCGCCGUGUUAGCUACGCUUUCUUUAAGUUUCUUUUGCAAUGGCUUGCAAAGCACCGAACAUGUACAUUUCUUUCCCCACACUUAAAUGGUUGUAUUUGCCAUUAUAUUAAGCCCAAGCACCGCUAGCUGUGGUUCUUGGUGAUCAUACUGAGGCCCAUGUGUAGUGGCGCCACACCGCCGCAGAGAUUUGCCGCCGCUCACUAAACUUACUAUCGAAUACUGAGAAAAGAAAUCCGUGGUGCAUUUGCCUUGCGUUUUUAAACAAGCUGAGAUUUGUCUUGCUGAAGAACCUAUUUCAAAUAUUAGCCAAAUUGCUAAUUAACCCCCACAACAUUGUUAGAUAGAGUGGGCGCAGAUGCAGUCCUGCUUGUUGGCUACAUAAUGAGAGCCCAUUCACCUGAUCUGUUCCCAUUAGUGAGCGCGCUAAUUUACUAAAAUCAAGACUGUUUCUAUAUAAACCAACUAUAUUUUGCACUUUUUUGGGUAAUAUACUGAAUCACAUUGGGGAUAAAAUGUUUAUCCUACCCUGUUGGGUAACAUUACUAUAGUCAUGCUGUUUAGUUCCUGGCUCACCAUCAUUGAAAGCACAUGUAAGAAAGUUUGAGGAAGUUGUAGUAGAUGUAGGAAGUUGAUGACACUUACCACACGAACAAAACAGGCCUGGGAGAUUGAUUUGUUUGAUUUAUCAUUAACCAUUUUUUUUUCCACAAACAAUGUAUCAAGUCCACCAUAGUAUCUUUUUUACCCCCCCCCCAGAUGCAGUGGUGUCUUUGAUCUCAGCAUCCUGGAAGUGGAAAGCACAGAAGAGACUGGGCCUACACCACAUACAGGUGCAGUGUGUAGAAGAAGCAGUCCAGAAGGAGGAAGACUUGGGGAGGAGGUGGUGCAGCAGCGCACCCCUCCGGCUGUG